CCUACGGGAGGCAGCAGUGGGGGAUAUUGCACAAUGGGGGGAACCCUGAUGCAGCGACGCCGCGUGGGUGAAGAAGCGCCUCGGCGCGUAAAGCCCUGUCAGCAGGGAAGAAAAUGACGGUACCUGAAUAAGAAGCCCCGGCUAACUACGUGCCAGCAGCCGCGGUAAUACGUAGGGGGCAAGCGUUAUCCGGAUUUACUGGGUGUAAAGGGGGCGCAGACGGCGAUGCAAGCCAGAUGUGAAAGCCUGGGGCCCAACCCCGGGACUGCACUGGGAACUGUGUGGCUGGAGUGCAGGAGGGGCAGGCGGAAUUCCUGGUGUAGCGGUGAAAUGCGUAGAUAUCAGGAGGAACACCAGUGGCGAAGGCGGCCUACUGGACUGCAACUGACGUUGAGGCCCGAAAGCGUGGGGAGCAAACAGGAUUAGAUACCCGAGUAGUC
rnacentral:rRNA from 1 species